rnacentral:rRNA from 1 species
CCUUAGAUGUCCGGGGCCGCACGCGCGCUACACUGAAGUGAUCAGCGUGCAUUUAUAUUUUGCUGCUCCGUCAGGAGUGGCUAACCCGUUGAACCUUCUUCGUGAUUGGGAUAGGAGAUUGUAAUUAUUCUCCUUGAACGAGGAAUUCCCAGUAAGCGCAAGUCAUAAGCUUGCGUUGAUUACGUCCCUGCCCUUUGUACACACCGCCCGUCGCUACUACCGAUUGAAUGAAUUAGUGAGGUCUUCGGACUGGCCUGUGAGGUUGUUUCGGCAACCGCGCAUGGCUCGGGAAGAUGCCCAAACUUGUUCAUUUAGAGGAAGUAAAAGUCGUAACAAGGUU